GAUGAAGAACGUAGCGAAAUGCGAUAAGUAGUGUGAAUUGCAGAAUUCAGUGAAUCAUCGAAUCUUUGAACGCACAUUGCGCCCUUUGGUAUUCCUUAGGGCAUGCCUGUUCGAGCGUCAUUUAAACCUUCAAGCUCAGCUUGGUGUUGGGUGACUGUCCGCCGCCUCCGGGCGGUCGGACUCGCCUCAAAUUGAUUGGCGGCCGGUACUUUGGCUUCGAGCGCAGCAGAAACGCGAACUCGAGGCAGUCGUCCUGGCUCCCAGAAGCUAUCUUCACAAUUUUGACCUCGGAUCAGGUAGGGAUACCCGCUGAACUUAAGCAUAUCAAUAAGCGGAGGA
rnacentral:misc_RNA from 1 species